GACGAACGCUGGCGGCGUGCUUAACACAUGCAAGUCGAGCGGUAAGGCCCUUUCGGGGGUACACGAGCGGCGAACGGGUGAGUAACACGUGGGUGACCUGCCCUCAGCUCUGGGAUAAGCCUGGGAAACCGGGUCUAAUACCGGAUAUGACUCCAUGACGCAUGUUGUGGGGUGGAAAGCCUUGUGCGGCUGAGGAUGGGCCCGCGGCCUAUCAGCUUGUUGGUGGGGUGAUGGCCUACCAAGGCGACGACGGGUAGCCGGCCUGAGAGGCGACCGGCCACACUGGGACUGAGACACGGCCCAGACUCCUACGGGAGGCAGCAGUGGGGAAUCUUGCGCAAUGGGCGAAAGCCUGACGCAGCGACGCCGCGUGAGGGAUGACGGCCUGGUGU
rnacentral:rRNA from 1 species